AAUAUUAUCGUCAAAAUUAUCCUUAUAUCUUCAAUUAUAACCGCCGGCAAUCAUUAUCUUUUUUGCAAUCUUGAAGGAUGGACGCAAGGACGGUGUUUUCCUCAUGGAGUUUUCUUCGAACUCCAACCAAUACCAGUUUUUUAACAUGCUCUGUCAUAUUCGGGUUUAACCGAUUCAUCUUUCAUUUAUGUUGGUAACCAGUUUCGUAAUCACAUCUGGACGAAAUAUCCGAUCCGAUUUGCCUACAACAAGCUUUUAUUCUGAUACUUCUCAAUACGCUACGACUCAAAGUUUCGUAAUUCACUCUUCAGCUAUUGUGCAACGAGAGCAGCUAAACAAUGCACUACGUUCGCAUACAAAAAUAACAAGAGUAACUCAGUGCUACAGAAACAAUUUGUAUAGUGGAGUGAUGUUGCAAAUUUCUUAAAUGUGUUAAGUGAGACGUGCCUCGUGGCUCGUGCCCUGCUGACUCAGAGAGCAGACGUCAAUGCGGUAAGAACAGUAUCGCGGUAAAGUAAAUAAGUCGUAAUAUUUUCAUGGGUGCCGCCGCGGCGGGCAUCUCGCCCGUUAUGCGUUGCUCAAAUAAACAAACGUGUUGAUUUUUAUACAGUAUCGGCCUUUCCAGUAGCGAACAAAUCUAACCGCGAUUCCAGCUAACUAUCAUCGUUGUAUCUGUAUUCUAAACUCGCUUCGACCAUUACCCGGAAUAUAUUCCAAAACUUGUAGCUACGAGAACUUAGGUUCAGAGUUUAUUAUAUCGGAACUGGUCAUACUGCAAUAGAGAUAUUUGGGGAAAAGAUUUUUUGGCCAAAGCAGAUUUCGUUUGAUUAGGAUCUUACUCAUGACGUGACUUCUGUGCAUAAAUUUUGUAAAGUCGCUACGGCACAAGUCCUAGACAAAUCCAAGUCUCCUAAACUUAAAGCAGUUUAUCUAUGUAAAUUUUUAUUGUUCAUAUAAUGGCAAAUACACGUAUUUUGUGUUCAUUCUAUCUAACUAAAAAGAUCUUCUUUUUAUACCCUAUCAUCAUCCCUUUAUCGUCAGGAUAAAGAAGUUAAAUGAAUCUAAAUUCAAGCUAAAUCGAAUAGAAAAUCUAGGUACCAAAUAGGAACGUAUAAUUCAAAAUACUACAACAAUCGCAAGCGUUGUUGAACAUGUAAGCUACCGUAACUUUUUAUUUUAAUUAUCAUCUUAUUAUGAGGCGAGGCGUUAAUUUUUACUAGGCUUAUUUCCAAUAAUGAGCUCGCUCUCAAAAAGUUUCCAAAAAAAGCUCAAUUCCAAUUGAAGAAAUAAGGUCUGCUUCAGUUAUCGGGGAGGCAUCGGUCGGGUUCUGCGACGACGUACAGUCUCGCGCUCCCGCCGCGCGCCGGCGCAUCGUCCGCGCACUGCACUCGGAUGCAUCGCCGCGCCCGCGACCGCCCGCGCUCCCGUGUGCAUGUGAUCGAGUGAAAUGCCGCAAACAGACUGUUCCGUUCAGGUUUCUAUAACAGUGCAACCCGGUUACGAUAAAUUGCAAGUGUUCGUUGACGUUUACAUGAGUGAGUAGUCCGAUGUUUGACAGUAGUUUGUAGUGGAUUUUAAGUUGCUGUACGUUAAAAAUUUGUAUACAAAAUUAUAAAAAAAAGUACUUUAAAUUUUUGAGGAGCUUUUCAGGUUAUGAAUCGAAAGGAAAAGCCGGCGUCAGGUGCGCGCGGGGUGCGGCCCGAGCCAGUCGGGUGGUGGGUCGCGGUGCCGGGUGCAAGAGCAGCGAGUGGGCGCGGGUCGACGACCGCUGCACGGAGCCCUGCCAGCGAAAACGGCAGAAAACCUCACGAAGGGCGGCAGCACACGGUGU